AACGAACGCUGGCGGCAUGCCUAACACAUGCAAGUCGAACGAGACCUUCGGGUCUAGUGGCGCACGGGUGCGUAACGCGUGGGAAUCUGCCCUUGGGUUCGGAAUAACAGUUGGAAACGACUGCUAAUACUGGAUGAUGACGUAAGUCCAAAGAUUUAUCGCCCAAGGAUGAGCCCGCGUAGGAUUAGCUAGUUGGUGAGGUAAAGGCUCACCAAGGCGACGAUCCUUAGCUGGUCUGAGAGGAUGAUCAGCCACACUGGGACUGAGACACGGCCCAGACUCCUACGGGAGGCAGCAGUGGGGAAUAUUGGACAAUGGGCGAAAGCCUGAUCCAGCAAUGCCGCGUGAGUGAUGAAGGCCUUAGGGUUGUAAAGCUCUUUUACCCGGGAUGAUAAUGACAGUACCGGGAGAAUAAGCGCCGGCUAACUCCGUG
rnacentral:rRNA from 1 species